rnacentral:tRNA from 1 species
UCGUAGCUCAGCUGGAUAGAGCACCGGACUUCUAAUCCGACGGUCGAGGGUUCGAAUCCCCCCGGG